rnacentral:rRNA from 1 species
UACGUAGGGUGCGAGCGUUGUCCGGAAUUACUGGGCGUAAAGAGCUCGUAGGUGGUUUGUCGCGUUGUUCGUGAAAACUCACAGCUUAACUGUGGGCGUGCGGGCGAUACGGGCAGACUGGAGUACUGCAGGGGAGACUGGAAUUCCUGGUGUAGCGGUGGAAUGCGCAGAUAUCAGGAGGAACACCGGUGGCGAAGGCGGGUCUCUGGGCAGUAACUGACGCUGAGGCGCGAAAGCGUGGGGAGCGAACAGG